rnacentral:rRNA from 1 species
AACGAACGCUGGCGGCAUGCCUAACACAUGCAAGUCGAACGAGACCUUCGGGCCUAGUGGCGGACGUGUGCGGAACGCGGGGGAACCUACCCGUAGGUUCGGAGUAACUCACCGAAAGGGGUGCUAAGACCGGUGAGGCUCUUCGGACCAAAGAUCUAUCGCCUUUGGGUGGGCCCUGGUUAGAUUAGGUGGUUGGUAGUGUAAAAGCCUAUCAAGGCGACGAUGCAUAGCUGGUCGGAGAGGAGGAUCAGCCACAAUGGGACUGAGACACGGCCCAGACUCGUACGGAAGGCAGCAGUGGGGAAUACUGGACGAUGGGCGAUAGCCUGAUCCAGCCGUGCCGCGUAAGUGAUGAAGGCCUUAGGGUUGUAAAGCUCUUUUACCCGGGACGAUAAUGACAGUACCGGGAGAAUAAGCACCGGCUAACUCCGUG